rnacentral:misc_RNA from 1 species
GAUGAAGAACGUAGCGAAAUGCGAUAAGUAGUGUGAAUUGCAAAAUUCAGUGAAUCAUCGAAUCUUUGAACGCACAUUGCGCCCCUUGGUAUCCCGAGGGGCAUGCCUGUUCGAGCGUCAUUUCACCACUCAAGCCUGGCUUGGUGUUGGGCGACGUCCCCUUUAGGGACGCGCCUCGAAACGCUCGGCGGCGCGGCACCGGCUUUAAGCGUAGCAGAAUCUUUCGCUUUGGAAGUCGGGGCCCCGCCUGCCGGAAUACCUACUUGUAAGGUUGACCUCGGAUCAGGCAGGGAUACCCGCUGAACUUAAGCAUAUCAAUAAGCGGAGGA